rnacentral:rRNA from 1 species
AUACGUAGGGGGCGAGCGUUGUCCGGAAUGAUUGGGCGUAAAGGGCGCGUAGGCGGCCCGGUAAGUCUGGAGUGAAAGUCCUGUUUUUAAGAUGGGAAUUGCUUUGGAUACUGUCGGGCUUGAGUGCAGGAGAGGUAAGUGGAAUUCCCAGUGUAGCGGUGAAAUGCGUAGAGAUUGGGAGGAACACCAGUGGCGAAGGCGAGUUGCUUGACUGUAACUGACGCUGAGGCGCGAAAGGGUGGGGAGCAAACAGGAUUAGAUUCCCUGGUAGUCCACACUGUAAACGAUGAAAGCUAGGUGUAGGGGGUAGCGGCCCCUUCUGUGCCGCAGUCAACACAAUAAGCAUUCCGCCUGGGGAGUACGGCCGCAAGGUUUAAACUCAAAGGAAUUGACGGGG